rnacentral:rRNA from 1 species
CCUACGGGUGGCUGCAGUGAGGAAUAUUGGUCAAUGGGGGAAACCCUGAUCCAGCGACGCCGCGUGAGUGAAGAAGUAUUUCGGUAUUUAAAGCUCUAUCAGCAGGGAAGAAAGAAAUGACGAUACCUGAGUAAGAAGCCCCGGCUAACUACGGGCCCGCAGCCGCGGUAAUACGUAGGGGGCAAGCGUUAUCCGGAAUUACUGGGUGUAAAGGGAGCGUAGGCGGGAAUGCAAGUCUGGAGUGAAAGGCGGGGGCCCAACCCACGGACUGCUCUGGAAACUGUGUAACUGGAGUGCAGGAGAGGCAGGCGGAAUUCCUAGUGUAGCGGUGAAAUGCGUAGAUAUUAGGAGGAACACCAGUGGCGAAGGCGGCCUGCUGGACUGUAACUGACGUUGAGGCUCGAAAGCGUGGGGAGCGAACAGGAUUAGAUACCCGUGUAGUC